rnacentral:lncRNA from 1 species
ACUAAUUGUUAGUGGAACAUUAGGUGUUGAGAUUUGGCAAAUGAAUUGCAUGCAUUUUUGCAUGCAAUUAGGCUAUAAAUAGAGGUGUUUUCAAAUGUUGAAGAACUUUUGCCUCUUUUAUCAUUUUCAUCAUCUCAACAAAAGAAAAAAAAAAACUUCCAAUCUCAUUUUAUCUCCAUUAUUUUCUACACCAAAAUUGGGUCCCACAACCCAGUUCUUUGUCUAGAGGAUAGCAGUUGAGUACUAGUGGUGGUCUCGAGUAGAAUUGGUAAGAAGACAUCAAACCUUUUGAAAGCUUCAAAGGUAAUACUUCUUAAAACCCUAAUUUGAUUAGUUUAUGGUUACAUGUUAAUUGUGGCAAUUAGGGUAGAAAUUCGAUUCUUUUUCCGCUGUGCAUGACUUAGUUCUAUCAUGUGGUAUCAGAGCAUGCUUCAUUUUUACCCAAUUGCAUGUGGUGGGUUCAUAUUUAUUAGAUAAAUUUUGGUUUGAACUAAAAUGGAUAUAUUAUGAUUUUGGCUCUAGAUUAAGUGUUUUUGUUCUAAUUAUUGUAAUUAGCCUUGUUAAUGGAUUAUUUUUAUUGUUGCAAAGUGUUUGUAAUUUUUAAAAAAAUAAAAAAAGUCAUUAGAGUUGAAGCUAGGCUGUAAUUGGUUCAACCGGGUGAGAGAAUUGAAAAAAAUGAAGAAAAGAAGGUCACAGACCCGAAAACCCGGCCUUGACCCGCUUCGCGACCCGCACGCGCCCUCCUGCAUCCGCACGCGCCCGCGCGCCCUCCUGCGCCGCGCGCCUGCCUUCGCCGCCCGACGCCGUGUGCGCCUGGGCCGGUUCAAGCCAAUAAAUUUGGUUUUUGGGCCGGUUCAAGCGAUUUCGGUUGGUUUUUCAGCCGGUUCGAAGUUUUUGGAAGUGGUUCUGUACUACACCAAAUUAAUUAUGUAAUAAUUUAGUACUUAGCUUAAGUUAGGAGCCAAAAAAUCAGUCCAUUUUAGGGUGUUUUUUUUAUUUGUGCAUGUGAUGUAUGAUUAAAUUACUUUAAAUUUGUAUGUGCAUUUUGAAUGUCAUAUAGAUUUAAAAUCCCACCAUAGGUUAACAUGUUCAUGCAUUAAAAUGUAUGAUAUAAAGGUUAUAUUGUAUUGUAUGCAUGUUAAUUGAUUAAUAUGGAAAUUAAUUAAUAUGAUUAAUUAAUUAUUUAAUUAAUUAAGUUAUUCUUGAUUAAAUAUGAUUUAAUUUAAUUAAAUAUGAUUUAAUUAAAUUAAAAAUUAAAUAUGAUUUAAUUAAAGUUAAAUAAAUUAAAAUCCAUAUUAAUUGAUUGUUUUUAUAAGGUUAUAUAUUGAUAAAAUGAUUGAUUAAGUUUAAAAGUUUUUAUAAGUGUUAUAAAAUAAAUUAGACUUUUAAAAUCAAUAACAAAGAUUAAAUGCAUGCUCACUUAGGUUAAACAUAUCUUCCAUUUUUCAUAGAAAUAGGUCGAUAUCUUGUAAAACUGGUUACAAAAGGCUCACCUGGUUCAAUCUUGUCAACAAGUCAGAUAAGAUGACUAAGGUUGGAGGUUCUUAACUUGAAGGUUUACGGAACACCUCCUACCUGGAGAUCGUUAUCAGUUCUUGAGCCUAGUUAACCUAGUUUUAUGAGCAUUCGUGAGAGGUGUGAGGUAAUAAAAAUGGUUUAUCACCUAGACAUCAUAGGUUAAAAUCCUAUAUAAUGGUUAUACUCGGAUGUUUUAUCUAGACUUAAAGAUUUGUUUAAGUUAGCCUAAAUAUAAAUCUUGAAGCUUGGAUUACCCUAUUUUUUUUCUUUUAGAACACUUCAACUAGAGAAAAAUAAUGUAUUUUAGCUCUAGUGUCCCUAAGAGUUCACACCGUGAGGUCCAUACAGGGCUUUGUGCCGUGCAUAGGAGCGGCCUCCCUUCGGAGAGUGUUUGCAUGGAUCAAAAUCAAGGUGAAUAGGGGAAGUAGUUCAUAGAAAGUGGGUGAGGGAUUUGUGGCAGCACAUCCCACGGUCUCUUUCAUUAGGUCGCACCGUAAGAUUUCUAUAAUAUGCCUGCUUGUCUGCCCUGGAGCGACGUUCCCUUCGGAGGGUUGUAUUAUAGGAUUCGGAACACCGCGAACUCCAAAACUGGAUAGGAUUUCUUAGAUUAGUUUUCAUAAAUGAUUCUAAUCUAUGAAAUCUGAAAAUGGUGGGUAACACUUACAAGAAGCCCCAAUACAAUCCCCAAUACAUUAUAAUGUGGCUUCGGCCAAGAGCCCAGAGCUCCACACGCAUUUUCUUAUACCGAAAGAACCCGAUGCAUUCUUUCCCGAAGCAAGCAUGUCUCUCCUUUCUACGGACGAUUAUGGCUUCGAUUGCGAGUCGAGAGUUUCCUAUAUAGGUUUUGAUCGAAGGAACCCGACGCAUUAUGGCCUAAAGCGGCUUGGCUCUCCUACUUUCUACGGGCGAUUGUAAUGUGUCUUCGACCAAGAGUCGAGAGUUCCCCAUGCAGUUUUUGUACCGAAGGAACUUAAUGAAUUUUGGCCCAAAGCGGCUUGGCUCCACUAUUUUCUACGGGGGAUUGUAUUGGGGCUUCUUGUAAGUGUUACCCACCAUUUUCAGAUUUCAUAGAUUAGAAUCAUUUAUGAAAACUAAGCGUGUGCGCACAGGGCAUCAAGAUGCUUGAUCAAUGCUUGCCUCACACACACACAUGCCAUUCAACCAGCAGUGUCGUGACACUAUUCGUGUGAAGUUGCACUACACGUUUCUUUGCGGUGGGUGACUUUUCACAAGGGUUUUCGACUCACACACUCCUACAUUCUUCCACAUGACCUGUUCACGACCUGGGUACAUACCUACGUCACUUGAUAAAUGGUAAAAAUAUAAGUUAUUAUAGCCUUUUAAGUAGAAUAAUAAAACCUUAAUACAUAAAAUUGGAACAAAACAUGUGGGAAAGUAAGGAAAUUGACUAAGUUGUGGAGUGAGGAUUACAAAAGAGUCAUAUGCCUGUUUAUCGCAUUUUAAUGUUUGAUUUCAAGGCUUUUAGACAAAAUGAAGAACAACCUGGCUAAAUAAUGUUAGUUGGGAAGGAUGUACGCUAACCAACCUAACAAUCACUAUAGUAAGACUAGGCGAGAUAAAGAACAAGCAAACAAAAGUGGUUGGCGCAAAAACCUACAACGGCCGUAGAUAUCUGUAAACCUGAUAAAGGACCUUUGUGGUGUCAACUCAGCCUUAUCAGAAUCAAUUAGAGGACAACAGAGAGAGAUUUCCCUUUUGUGUAAAGGCAAAAACCUAGAGCCAAAGAAUAUGAACACUCAUACUUUGCGGCUUGCUUUACUUUUUUGUGUUUUAUUUGUGUAUUUUAUAACAGUGAUUUGUAAUAUUGACU